rnacentral:rRNA from 1 species
GACGAACGCUGGCGGCGUGCUUAACACAUGCAAGUCGAACGGAAAGGCCCUGCUUUUGUGGGGUGCUCGAGUGGCGAACGGGUGAGUAACACGUGAGUAACCUGCCCUUGACUUUGGGAUAACUUCAGGAAACUGGGGCUAAUACCGGAUAGGAGCUCCUGCUGCAUGGUGGGGGUUGGAAAGUUUCGGCGGUUGGGGAUGGACUCGCGGCUUAUCAGCUUGUUGGUGGGGUAGUGGCUUACCAAGGCUUUGACGGGUAGCCGGCCUGAGAGGGUGACCGGCCACAUUGGGUCUGCGAUACGGCCCAGACUCCUACGGGAGGCAGCAGUGGGGAAUAUUGCACAAUGGGCGGAAGCCUGAUGCAGCAACGCCGCGUGCGGGAUGACGGCCUUCGGGUUGUAAACCGCUUUCGCCUGUGACGAAGCGUGAGUGACGGUAAUGGGUAAAGAAGCACCGGCUAACUACGUG